UCCUUUUCUCUUUUUCAGUGUUUUUUUUUUGACAGCUUAUUAUUCCUAUUUUGCCUGAAUAUUCUCAAAAGCCUUGCUGCUUGUACAGACAUUUAAGAAAAGAAAGAUAAAUGUCCGUGUUCUUGCAUCUUUCUCAAUGUUCAAAAUUUCCAAAAUUUCCAAAAAGUCACAGUGCUGCUAUGAUCACAGUUGAACAAACCACAGAUAGACCAGACUGGCAGAAAGAAGUUAAGGCAUAGAAAGAUGCUAUAAUGCUUUGAAGAUGGGAACACCUGAUCAAGAAAUGAAGGCAGAAUAUUCAAAGAGACUAGAGGUAUGAGUGUAUUAAAAUGUCAGGAGAGGACAUUCAAUUUAUAAGAAGACAAAAGGUGACUUUUAAAGAGGUGAUUAAAUCACAUCCUGCUUGGAAAACUAUUGUAUAUUUUAUAUCCUUAUAAUAUACGCAUUUAAAAUAUAGUUUCAUCAACA
rnacentral:lncRNA from 1 species